rnacentral:lncRNA from 1 species
AUAUAUGUAUAUAUAUUAUCUUUAUGAUAUAAAUGGUUAGUAAAAGAUACUUUAGCGUUAGUUCUUACUUAAUUUCAUAACAAAAAUAUGAAAGCAAAGAAAGGAAGACGAUAAACAACUUGAUUAUUUCUUUUUACAUUUUUUCGCAAAGUCUGUUCACUUUCAGUUUAUAUGCAAAAUCUAACAACCUAGCGUUUUAUUCAAUCUAACAUGCAUCAUUCUCUAACAAUCAUUCAUGCUUCCUCAUUCCUCCAUCAUGCUUCACAUCAUUCAUUCAUGCAACAAACACUCUUCCUUUUAGUCGAGCAGCACCGUCAGUUAAUUAAUUUACCCCAGCCCUGUAGGUCAAACUCUUAAUUACUCGUAUCUUCCUUUCCUCUUAUCUCCACACAAUCAAUCAACAUGCUCAUGACCAUGUCGUGACAUCUAAUAACCUAGGCUCAGUCAUCUAACAACUCAAUCCCAGACUAUGUGUGUGAACAUGCAAUAAAUCUACGAAUCACAUCUAAUUCACAAGGGCGAAAUCCCGAUUUAAAAACAGAGAGAAAGAACUUUAGAAAACGAUUUAGGAAAGAUGGUUUUAGAAAACGAGAUAUGAUAUCUCUUUCCGUAAUCCAAACUAGUUCCCGCAGUCUGGCGGUUUUAUGAGCAGCGGAUCGCAGGAUACAAUCACUAUGAGACCGAUAUCGCAACACUCGAUAGCGAAAUCUACGAACUUGAAAUAAUACGAUAUACUCUUGACUUACUUUGAGAAGAAAGGAAGAGAUGGGAGAGAGUUUUUGUUGUUGCGUUUUUUGUAUAAAAAGCAUAAAUGAAAUGAGAGAGAGAGGUGUUGCUUUUAUAGGCUCAGCUCGGUACGGCGGCGGUGGCGCGCUCGCGCGUGUGGUUCGUUUU